CCUUACGACCACACCGGCCUGAGUACGCCUGAUCUCGUCUGAUCUCAGAAGCUAAGCAGGGUCGGGCCUGGUUAGUACUUGGAUGGGAAACUUCCUGGGAAUACCAGGUGCUGUAAGCU
ensembl:rRNA 5S_rRNA 5S ribosomal RNA